rnacentral:rRNA from 1 species
UUUAAAUUAGUGGCGAACGGGUGAGUAACACGUGGGCAACCUGCCCCUGACUCUGGGAUAACUACUCGAAAGAGUAGCUAAUACCGGAUAUGAAACCUGAAGACAUCCUCGGAUUUGGAAAGUUUUUCGGUUAGGGAUGAGCCCGCGGCCUAUCAGCUAGUUGGUGAGGUAGUGGCUCACCAAGGCGACGACGGGUAGCCGGCCUGAGAGGGCGACCGGCCACACUGGGACUGAGACACGGCCCAGACUCC